AACGAACGCUGGCGGCAGGCUUAACACAUGCAAGUCGAGCGCCCCGCGAGGGAAGCGGCAGACGGGUGAGUAACGCGUGGGAAUCUACCCAUCUCUACGGAAUAACGCAUGGAAACGUGUGCUAAUACCGUAUACGUCCUUCGGGAGAAAGAUUUAUCGGAGAUGGAUGAGCCCGCGUUGGAUUAGCUAGUUAGUGGGGUAAAGGCCUACCAAGGCGACGAUCCAUAGCUGGUCUGAGAGGAUGAUCAGCCACACUGGGACUGAGACACGGCCCAGACUCCUACGGGAGGCAGCAGUGGGGAAUAUUGGACAAUGGGCGCAAGCCUGAUCCAGCCAUGCCGCGUGAGUGAUGAAGGCCCUAGGGUUGUAAAGCUCUUUCACCGGUGAAGAUAAUGACGGUAACCGGAGAAGAAGCCCCGGCUAACUUCGUGCCAGCAGCCGCCGUAAAAC
rnacentral:rRNA from 1 species